CACACUUCAUAAAAAUCAAUUACUCAAAACCUAAUUUCUAUUUUUCCUCUUAUUUCCUCUCCGCAACCACACUCUUUUUCGUCCUUUUUAUUUUUCUUCUGUUUGAUUUUUCUAAUCGUUCUUUAUAUUAUCUAUUUUCAGUUCUGGAAACAGAAAAAAAAACACUCUACUAUAAUCUCUAUUUCACCAUUUUCCUCUCUAAUUCACUAUUUUCUUCUAAAACAAAUAUUUAUUCAUUUCAAUUUUUGGACGAAAAAAUUAGGGUUCUUGAGCGAUUUUGGCGAUUUUUGAUUCUGAUUUGCUUUUACGCACUCAGUGGUAAUUAAUCUACUCAUUUAGUUGGUACUAUAUGCGAAUCGAUUUCUUUCUAUACCCUCUUUUUUUUACCGAUUCCAAUUUUUUUUGGGUUUUUCUGAUUUAAAUCUAUUUAACUUAUCGAACUGCGAUCGAUGAGUUUGAUUCAGUUCAGUCUCUUAUGGGGAAAAUUAGUGAUAAAGAACAAGCUAUCGAGAUAAAAGCGAGGCAUCGGCUCCGGAAACGGCGACUGAACAAAAGGAAAAAAAAUGAUGUGCAUCUAAGAAUAUGAUACUACAGCACGAUUCCGAGGUAUUAUCCUUAGUUACCAGUUGAUAGAGUCGGGCUUGGAGUAGGAGAAGGCAGGAGAAAUUAAUUGAUGGAGCUGGGCUAGAGGCAGGAGAAAUCAGAUGAAGAAUAUCAAUUUGAAGAUAGCCCAUGUUUGGCCAUUUGAUUAUUAGACUAUGAAUAACCCCAUUAUGCCUUAAGAUUGUUUAUUUUUCUUGUAAAUAUAAUAUGAGAUUAUGUAUUUACACAAUAAUCUUUUAUCUUUGAAAUUAAAAUUCAUAUUAUUUUAA